rnacentral:rRNA from 1 species
UACAGAGGUCCCAAGCGUUGUUCGGAAUUACUGGGCGUAAAGCGUGCGUAGGCGGCGGGGUAAGUCGGGUGUGAAAUCUCAGGGCUCAACCCUGAAAUUGCAUUCGAUACUACUUUGCCUGAGCUCUGAAGAGGAGGUUGGAAUUUACGGUGUAGCGGUGAAAUGCGUAGAUAUCGGAAGGAACAUCAGUGGCGAAAGCGACUUCCUGGACCAAUACUGACACUCAAGUGCGAAAGCGUGGGGAGCAAACAGG